GACGAACGCUGGCGGCGUGCUUAACACAUGCAAGUCGAACGGAAAGGCCCUGCUUUUGUGGGGUGCUCGAGUGGCGAACGGGUGAGUAACACGUGAGUAACCUGCCCUUGACUUUGGGAUAACUUCAGGAAACUGGGGCUAAUACCAGAUAGGAGCUCCUGCUGCAUGGUGGGGGUUGGAAAGUUUCGGCGGUUGGGGAUGGACUCGCGGCUUAUCAGCUUGUUGGUGGGGUAGUGGCCUACCAAGGCUUUGACGGGUAGCCGGCCUGAGAGGGUGACCGGCCACAUUGGGACUGAGAUACGGCCCAGACUCCUACGGGAGGCAGCAGUGGGGAAUAUUGCACAAUGGGCGGAAGCCUGAUGCAGCAACGCCGCGUGCGGGAUGACGGCCUUCGGGUUGUAAACCGCUUUCGCCUGUGACGAAGCGUGAGUGACGGUAAUGGGUAAAGAAGCACCGGCUAACUACGUG
rnacentral:rRNA from 1 species